rnacentral:rRNA from 1 species
GACGAACGCUGGCGGCGUGCUUAACACAUGCAAGUCGAACGGAAAGGCCCUGCUUUUGUGGGGUGCUCGAGUGGCGAACGGGUGAGUAACACGUGAGUAACCUGCCCUUGACUUUGGGAUAACUUCAGGAAACUGGGGCUAAUACCGGAUAGGAGCUCCUGCUGCAUGGUGGGGGUUGGAAAGUUUCGGCGGUUGGGGAUGGACUCGCGGCUUAUCAGCUUGUUGGUGGGGUAGUGGCUUACCAAGGCUUUGACGGGUAGCCGGCCUGAGAGGGUGACCGGCAACAUUGGGACUGAGAUACGGCCCAGACUCCUACGGGAGGCAGCAGUGGGUAAUAUUGCACAAUGGGCGGAAGCCUGAUGCAGCAACGCCGCGUGCGGGAUGACGGCCUUCGGGUUGUAAACCGCUUUCGCCUGUGACGAAGCGUGAGUGACGGUAAUGGGUAAAGAAGCACCGGCUAACUACGUG